rnacentral:lncRNA from 1 species
AGACCUGGUUUCCAGCAACCGAUUGCAACAUGCCUGUACCGGAUUCCUUCUUCCUCUCAAGUCAAGGAGUAACUUAGAACCAUUGCCGAGACUCAUCUCCUAAGGCCCCUUUCCUUUGAGGGAAUCCCAACUGAUUGCUCUGAGAACUCAGAGAAAGGGCCAGACCCUUUGCUCUAAGUGGCCUUUCCCCCUAAAACAUCUCACAGUCACUCUUCCUCCCAAGAAAUAACAAUCAAAACCCUGCAGCCCUUAGUUAAUACCGGCUAAGACCACAGGGCUUUACCAAGACUGCAUUACCGUGCACUGGCUAACACAGAAGUCAUAGGUCCUAUUUGUCCGGACGAGAAGAGGCGUAUUUUACCAAACCAAAUGUUUGAAAGGAAAAUGCUGAUCGCUGGGACGAUUUUUUUUUCCAGAUGCAUUUUACUGUUUAAAAUUUACCUGAGGUAAAUAGGGGAAGGAAGUGGUAGAAAGAAAUUACUGGAGAGAAGGAAGGGAGAGAGGGUGAGAAGGAAGGAGGGAGGGAGGGAAAAUAAGAAAAAGAAAAUCCAUUACCAUCCAGUCUCUUUGAAGGUAUCAGGGAAUUGCUAGUGCAUAGGAACACACUUGACUACUGAACACACAUGUACACACAAACACACACACACACACACACACACACACACACACACACAC